rnacentral:rRNA from 1 species
UACCAGACUCCUACGGGAGGCAGCAGUGGGGAAUAUUGGGCAAUGGGCGCAAGCCUGACCCAGCAACGCCGCGUGAAGGAAGAAGGCUUUCGGGUUGUAAACUUCUUUUGACAGGGAAGAGUAGAAGACGGUACCCGUCGAAUAAGCCACGGCUAACUACGUGCCAGCAGCCGCGGUAAUACAUAGGUGGCAAGCGUUGUCCGGAAUGACUGGGCGUAAAGGGAGCGUAGGCGGUCUGUUAAGUUGGAAGUGAAAUCCCGGGGCUCAACCCCGGAACUGCUUUCAAGACUGACGGACUUGAGUGUAAGAGGGGUAAGCGGAAUUCCUAGUGUAGCGGUGGAAUGCGUAGAUAUUAGGAGGAACACCAGUGGCGAAGGCGGCUUACUGGAUUAUAACUGACGCUGAGGCUCGAAAGCGUGGGUAGCAAACAGGAUUAGAUACCCGUGUACA